rnacentral:lncRNA from 1 species
AGUCACUCCAUUCGCGGGUGUCCACGGCAUAGUUGGGGUUAAGCCACUUAGCCAUAGAGGCAAGUGAAUGCGCAACAAGGGAUCUCUAACCUUCAAACCGUUUGAGGGAGAAUACUCUAUGAUAUGAUUAAGAAUCUCUGGCCAGAGUAUGAAUAAGAUUUAGGAAGUCAUUCCAAAUCACAUUCAAGGUAAUCAUAUAAGUAAAUGACUCACAUUGGAUAGUAGACAUGAAUAAACUAUCAAACCAAACAAUGUGGUCAAGAGUAUUGUGUUAGAGAAAGACCGUAUUGCAUUGUAAUCCUAAACUGAAUAGGUCACCACCUCUUCUGAUUAGCUUAGGUAACCAUGACAUACUGCUAGGUGUCACU